AAAAAAAAAAAAAAAAAGUAUAAGCCACCAAUAUAUUACCUUUUGAGUGAAGCAACUUUUUUAAUUUGUCUUUUUAAAUGUGCAUUUUAAUCCAUCGCCUUAUCAUAUAGGUUUUUAAAAUUAGAAGUUGUUUCAUUUGAAAAUUAACGGAUUAAAAUAUUGUUUAAAAAAAAAAUUGGUUUACAAAGGAAUGACGAAACCCUAACAUGAGACCUCAUUCAAGUUCAUAAAUAUAUUAACCACCAAGAGUCCAAAUGAAAUUUCGAAUUUAAAAAAAAAAUU
rnacentral:misc_RNA from 1 species